GUAUCAGCCACUGUAUGCAGCCCCCUGCUCUUAAAUAGAGCCUCAUGAGAGAAACAGUCCCCUUCCCAGCUGUGGACAUAGUUACGUGAGGAUGUGAUAGAGGCUGUGACAUGCUGAGAAAUACAGCCAACCUGCUGCAGAUGGCAGAGAAAAAGAACUUGACCCUUAAUGACAUUCCUGAGCCAUUCACAACACUGUAAGGUUGGCUGAUUGUGGAGGCUAAAGCAACUCUACCUUGCCAGCUUAUCCACCAUGUGGACUUCUAAUUAAUCUCAGUUGCCGGAAUGCCUCUAAGAUUUCUACGUUAUCUACUGUGAAGAGCAAGUAAUUACUGCAAAUCCUGCCCUUGGGUCAAAACAACCUUGAUGACAUAUUCCUUCUGAAGCACAUAUACUCUUUCCCUAGCUGCCUGCCCUGCAGACUUCAGGCUCCAGCAUCAGACACAGAGACCCAGCGUUAUGGAGACUGUCUAACCAGAUCUCACAAUUGUGGAAGAUCCCAACUCCUACAGAAAUCUCUUAAAAACCACGUGUGGCUGGGCACAGUGGCUCAUGUAUGUAAUUCCAGCACUUUGGGAGGCUGAGGUGAGUGGA
rnacentral:lncRNA from 1 species